rnacentral:rRNA from 1 species
UACGUAGGGUGCAAGCGUUGUCCGGAAUUAUUGGGCGUAAAGAGCUCGUAGGUGGUGUGUCGCGUCUGCCGGUGAAAGCCCGGGGCUUAACUCCGGGUCUGCGGUGGAUACGGGGCAGACUAGAGGCAGGUAGGGGAGAACGGAAUUCCCGGUGUAGCGGUGAAAUGCGCAGAGUAUCGGGAGGAACACCGGUGGCGAAGGCGGUUCUCUGGGCCUGGUACUGACGCUGAGGAGCGAAAGCGUGGGGAGCGAACAGG